UUUUAUGGAUGAGCAAAGAAAGUGGCUUCUUGAGAUGGAAACUACUACUGGUAAAGAAGCUGUAAA
rnacentral:pre_miRNA from 1 species